AUAAUAUAUAUAUAUAUUUAUAUUUAUUUAAUAAUAUUCUAAAAAUAAAUUUAAUUUAAAUAUUUAAUCCUUUCGUACUAAAAUAUUUUUUAUUUUAAAAGAUAGAAACCAACCUGGCUCACACCGGUUUGAACUCAGAUCAUGUAAGAUUUUAAUGAUCGAACAGAUCAAAAAUUUUAAACUUCUGCAUUUAAAUUUUAUCUUAAUCCAACAUCGAGGUCGCAAACUUUCUUUCUUAUUUGAACUAAAAAAAAAAAUUACGCUGUUAUCCCUAAGGUAAUUUUCUCUUUUAAUCAUAAAAUAUGGAUCAAAAAAUCACUUAUUAAUGUUAACAAUUAUAAAAAGUUAUUUUUAUUUUUCUAUCACCCCAACAAAAUAUUUUAUUUUAUUUCAAUAAUAUAUUAAUAAAUAAUCUCUUUAAAAUAAAAUAUUAAACUCUAUAGGGUCUUCUCGUCUUUUUAAGUUAUUUUAACUUUUUAAAUAAAAAAUUAAGUUCAAUAAUUAACUAAGAGACAGUAUAUAUUUCAUCCAAUCUUUCAUACAAGUCACCAAUUAAGAGACUAAUGAUUAUGCUACCUUUGUACAGUCAUGAUACUGCAGCCCUUUAAUUAAUAUCAGUGGGCAGAUUAGACUUUAAAUUAUUUUCAAAAAGACAUGUUUUUGAUAAACAAGUGAAUAUAAAUUUAAUAAUUUGCCGAAUUCCUUUUAAUUAAUUUUUUAAAUAUAAUUUUUAUUAUUUUAUAUAUAUAUAUAUAUAUAUAUAUAAUAUUUACUAAUUUUAUCAUUAUAACUAAAAUUAUAAAAUUAAAAAUUAUUUUUUUAUAAAAACUUAAAUAUUAAUUAAAUUUUAUUUAAUAAUAAAAUUAUUUAUAAUAAAAUAUAAUUUAUUAACAAUAUAAAUUAUAAAAAUUUUAAUAAAUAUUUAAUAAUUAUUAUAAAAAUUUAAUUUAAAGCUUAUCCCUUAAAUUAUUUAAUAUUUUUAAAAGAAAUUUAAUUAAUUAAAUUUCUUUUAAAAAUAUUUAAAAUUAAAUUUUUUUCUAAAAAAACUAGAUAUAUUUAAAAACGAUUAACAUUUCAUUUCAAAUUAAUUAUUAAAAAUAUUUAUGCUACAAUAACUUUAUUAAUUAAUUAACUCUUUUAAAUUCGAGAAUUUUUUAUAAAUAAAAUUUAAUUAAUAAACUCUGAUACACAAGAUACACUAAAUAAAAAUUACUUUUUUAUAAACUUAUUUCAAAUAUUUUAAAUUUCUUUUACAAUACUAUUAAACUAUAAAUUAAAAAAUUUUUUUUUAUUGAUACUAUAACCCCCCAAUUAUAAUAAUCUAUUAAAAAUUUUUUUAUUAUUAAUUUUUUUUAUUAAUUUUAAAAUU
rnacentral:rRNA from 1 species